CUCCGCCUCUCAAGUUCAAGCGAUUUCUGUCUAAUUUUUUUAUUUUUAGUAGAGAUGAGGUUUCACCAUGUUGGCCAGUCUGGUCUUGAACUCCUGAUCUCAAGUGAUCUGCCCUCCUUAGCCUCCCAAAGUGCUGGGAUUUCAGGUGUGAGCCACCUCAGCCAAACUACAUCAUGUCUUCUUGGGGAAGGGAGCACUACUGGACAUUUUUUGGCUAAGUGGAACAGAUACUUCCCGACAAGCUGCACAGCCGCAGAAGACUAGAGUGAGAGUCACAGGCCACUCCCAUCCCAUUUCCCUGAGCGCCUACAGCCUACCACUAUUCUGGUACCAACUUCUUUAUCGGUUGAGUUCUGGAUGGCAAGCAACAGAACCACUGCCUACUUCAAGCUCACAGAAUCUCCAACAGUGCCCA
rnacentral:lncRNA from 1 species